rnacentral:rRNA from 1 species
UACGUAGGGUGCAAGCGUUGUCCGGAAUUAUUGGGCGUAAAGAGCUCGUAGGCGGUUUGUCGCGUCGAAUGUGAAAACCCGGGGCUCAACUGGGGAGGGUCAUUCGCUACUGAUCGACUUGAAGGCAGGAGAGGGAAGUGGAAUUCCCGGUGUAGUGGUGAAAUGCGUAGAUAUCGGGAGGAACACCAGUGGCGAAGGCGACUUCCUGGCCUGUUCUUGACGCUGAGGCGCGAAAGCUAGGGGAGCAAACGGG